UACGUAGGGUGCAGGCGUUAAUCGGAAUUACUGGGCGUAAAGCGUGCGCAGGCGGCCUCUUAAGUCAGAUGUGAAAUCCCCAGGCUUAACCUGGGAACUGCGUUUGAAACUGGGAGGCUUGAGUGUGGAAGAGGGGGGUGGAAGUUCCAGGUGUAGCAGUGAAAUGCGUAGAUAUCGUGAGGAACACCAGAGGCGAAGGCGGCUACCUGGACAAUUGCUGACGCUCAGGCACGAAAGCGUGGGGAGCAAAAGGG
rnacentral:rRNA from 1 species